ensembl:lncRNA
AGACUGCUAUCUAACAGUGCUAUCUAACAGACUGCUAUCUAACAGACUUUCUAAACAGACUGCUAUCUAACAGACUUUCUAAACCGACUGCUAUCUAACGACUGCUAUCUCGACUCUACCGACUGCUAUCUAACCGACUGCUAUCUAACAGACUUUCUAAACAGACUGCUAUCUAACAGACUGCUAUCUAACAGACUGCUAUCUAACAGUGCUAUCUAACAGACUUCUAUCUAACAGACUUUCUAACAGAUCUAUCUAACAGACUGCUAUCUAACCGACUGCUAUCUAACCGACUGCUAUCUAAACGACUGCUAUCUAACCGACUGCUAUCUAACAGACUUUCUAAACAGACUGCUAUCUAACAGACUGCUAUCUACAGACUGCUAUCUAACAGUGCUAUCUAACAGACUACUAUCUAACAGACUUUCUAAACAGACUGCUAUCUAACAGACUUUCUAAACAGACUGCUAUCUAACAGACUUUCUAAACAGACUGCUAUCUAACCGUGCUAUCUAACCGACUGCUAUCUAACAGACUUUCUAAACAGACUGCUAUCUAACCGACUACUAUCUAACAGACUACUAUCUAACAGACUUUUAAACAGCUGCUAUCUACAGACUUUCUAACAGACUACUAUCUAACAGUGCUAUCUAACGAAUACUAUCUAACAGACUUUCUAAACAGACUGCUAUCUAACCGACUUUUAAACAGACUGCUAUCUAACAGUGCUAUCUAAACGACUGCUAUAUAACAGACUGCUAUCUAACAGACUGCUAUCUAACCGACUGCUAUCUAACAGACUGCUAUCUAACAGACUUUCUAAAACGACUGCUAUCUAACAGACUUUCUAACACGAUGCUAUCUAACAGUGCUAUCUAAACAGACUGCUAUCUAACAGACUUUCUAACAGACUGCUAUCUAACAGACUGCUAUCUAACAGACUGCUAUCUAACAGACUGCUAUCUAACAGACUACUAUCUAACAGACUACUAUCUAACAGGAUUUCUACACAGACUGCUAUCUACAGACUUCUAAACAAACUCUAUCUAACAGACUUUCUAAACAGACUGCUAUCUAACAGACUGCUAUCUAACAGACUGCUAUAUAACGACGACUAUCUAACAGACCUUCUAAACAGACUGCUAUCUAACCGACUGCUAUCUAACCGACUGCUAUCUAACCGACUGCUAUCUAACCGACUGCUAUCUAACUCCGACUGACUAUCUAACCGACUGCUAUCUAACCCGACUGCUAUCUAAAGACUGCUAUCUAACGACUUUCUAAACCGCUGCUAUCUAACGACUGCUAUCUACAGAGCUAUCUAAGACGCUAUCUAACGACUGCUAUCUAACAGACUGCUAUCUAACGACUGCUAUCUAACCGACUGCUAUCUAACCGACUGCUAUCUAACCCGACUGCUUCCAAACCGAUGCUAUCUAACCAGACUGCUAUCUAACCAGACUGCUAUCCAAACCGACGCUAUCCAACCGACUGCUAUCCAAACCGACUGCUAUCCUAACAGCCUGCUAUCCUACAGCCUGCUAUCCAAACCGACUGCUAUCCAAACCGACUGCUAUCCUAACAGCCUGCUAUCCUAACAGCCUGCUAUCUAACCAGACUGCUAUCUAACCAGACUGCUAUCCAAACCGAUGCUAUCCAAACCGACUGCUAUCCUACCAGCCUGCUAUCCUAACAGCUGCUAUCCUAAC